GACGAACGCUGGCGGCGUGCCUAAUACAUGCAAGUAGAACGCACAGUUUAUACCGUAGCUUGCUUAACCAUAGCCUGUGAGUUGCGAACGGGUGAGUAACGCGUAGGUAACCUGCCUGGUAGCGGGGGAUAACUAUAGGAAACGAAAGCUAAUACCCCAUAAUCUUAAUUAUUGCAUGAUAAUUAAUUGAAAGGUGCAAUUGCACCACUACCAGAUGGUCCUGCGUUGUAUUAGCUAGUAGGCGAGGUAACGGCCCACCUAGGCGGCGAUACAGAGCCGAGCUUGAGGGGUGAUCGGGCAACACUGGACUGGGACACGGGCCAGGCUCCUACGGGAGGGAGCAGUAGGGAAUCAUCGGCAAUUGAGGGAAGUCUGGCCGAACAAAGACGGGUUAGUGGAAAAAGUUUUUGGAGUGUAAAGCUCUGUUGGAAGGGAAGGACGAGUGUGAGGGUGGAAAGUUGACGCUGUGACGGUAUCUUACCAGAAAGGAACGGCUAACUACGUG
rnacentral:rRNA from 1 species